GAGAGGAGGAAGAGGAGGAGGAAGGGGAGGGGAGGAAGAAGAAAAAUGCUUUUAAAAGCAACUGUCCUGAAACACCCAUUGUCUCCAUCCUCUUCUCUUCCUCCUAGAUAACCACCUUGUCUUAUAACCUGGAACUUCUUUUAUCUAAUGGAAAAACUUUAUUCUUUUCUCCCUAAGCUGCCCCGUUUUGCCUCCUCCUCCUUUUCCUCCUCCUCCUCCUCCAUGUGCCUCUUCUUCACUGGGGUAAUUGCUCUGAGUGCCCCUGACCACUUGGGGGAAAUCUAUCAAUUCUAACUGCUUGCUUCUCUGGGCUUCUGGCAGCCCCCACCCACUGCACCCCCUGCACGUUGCUGCUGUUCUGGAACCGUACAAGACCUGUUUGUUUUUCUAAGCAGCCUCUCACAUUAGUAUUUUGCUUAACACUUUUUACUGUCUUUCUCUCCUUGCAGACAUGUUAGAAGCCUUCCCACAGGCUGUUUACCUAAAGAAACCACUGUUCUCCUGAGGCAUUGACUAUCCAGAUGACAGUGUCCCACAAAUGUGCUGGGCAAUCAGUGCUAGACACCACAGGAGUUGCAAAGCAGCACAACCCAAGGACACACUUGCCAAAGCUGCAGUCAUCACAAAAGACAGGACAGAGCUCCACAAGCCACUGCCCAAGAACACGUGGUUAAGGCUGGCCAGUUCCCACAUGCCUGCCACCACAACUACUCUGCAGCCGAGGCUGCAGGAUCCAGAAGUUCAAGAAUCUCACUAUAUAGCUCUGGCUUCCUGACUGGACUGGAACUUUCUAUGUACUCUAGGCUAGCCUUGAUGUCACAGAAAUCUGCACACCUGCUAGGGUUGGCCGUGCACGGCAUCACACAUGACAAAAUAAAUAUUUUUUUUAAAUGGUGAAUGAAUGUACACCUAUGUAUAAAAAUCAUA
ensembl:processed_transcript E230016M11Rik RIKEN cDNA E230016M11 gene